rnacentral:pre_miRNA from 1 species
UGUGCGUUGGUGGGGUCCCUUGGCCUGGCCUGCACCCUCUCGCAAUCCAGGACCCCUCGCGGGAUGUCGGAGGCCUGGCGCAUGGAUUUGACCUGAUCCCUGCAGGCCAGGCCGAGGGACCCCACCAGUGCAUG